UCCCCGUCGCUUGCUCCUUCUGUUGGAGCCCUCUGCGCCUGGCUUCCGAAGCGGUUGCAGGCACAGGAAAGCCUCUUUCCUCCCCAUCCUGAACCAGCAGCUUUCUUUUGCGGAGGGGCGCUCGCGGCGGUAUCGCUGGCAGCGAAAUCUCCCCGGCCCAGUUUAGGGCCGCCGGCUGAAUCUGGCAUGCGCCUGCGCGGGCGCGCCACUGCCGAGGCUAAAGAGGGACUUGGGUAGCUCCGGCUUAGGUCUUUCCCUUACUUUGACGCGCCAAAGCCUCCUUCGCCUCGCCUUCUCCCGCCGUUAUCUUAGCGCGGUGCAGCAGCCUCGGCCGAGACUCCGGCCCUAAUUCGGGUCCUCCCUCGGGGGCGGGGCCACGGAAAGACCGCGGCGUCCCCACCUCCUUUCUCGGUAGCUCCAAGGAGAGAACGGGAUUACUGCACGGGGACGCCGCCAGCCGCAUCUUCUCCGCUUGGGGCUUAAAACUGGAUGGAAGCCACCCGGGGGGUUUGGCGGGGAACCUCAGCAGCUAAUAACGGGAAUCCCUCAGCGGAUGCUGCCGCCCGCUUUCAGUUCUUGCGGCUGCCCGCGGGCUGCGAGAUGCUGAGCUGCGGCUCCAAGAAAGCGCUCGGGGGCCCCGGUUCGGUGCUUGCGCGCGCGUGAGGGGAGAAGACGACGACGACGACUUGCCGUCUCCUGAUGGACACGGAGUCCCGGGCACAGCUCGCUGCUGCUGCUGCAUCUUCGGGGCUGAAGGGUCGUGUGAACGCCGAGAGCCGCAGAGGGACCCAACGCUGCUGCCUUCGUAUGGGUGGAAUGCUGGGCGGGCUACCCAUUCCGGGUCGUCUCAUUGGGCAGGGGGCUUAAGAGGUGGCUUUUAGGGUUUUUUUUUUUUUUUUAGUAUCAUUAUUCUUAUCCCGAGUUUCAGCCGAGGGGUGUGUGUGAGAGAGAGUGAGUGUGAGUGUGUGUGUGUGUGUGUGUGGUACAGGCGACCACAAGCCCGUCCAUGGCCAACCCGCGGCGGUGCAUUGAGCUGGAGCAUUUCGAGGAGCGAGACAAAAGGCAGCAGCGCUCGGGCUCCCGCCGGGGAGGGGGCAGCUCCACUUGUAGCAGCAGCUCGGGGCCCAAAGGCAACGGGCUCAUCCCCAGCCCCGCGCACAGCGCCCACUGCAGCUUCUACCGCACGCGCACCCUCCAGGCCCUCAGCUCGGAGAAGAAAGCCAAAAAGGCGCGCUUCUACCGCAACGGGGACAAGUACUUCAAGGGCUUGGUCUAUCCCAUUUCCAGCGACCGUUUCCGCUCCUUCGACGCCCUCCUGGUCGAGCUCACCAGGUCUCUGUCUGACAAUGUCAACCUGCCUCAGGGCGUCCGGGCCAUCUAUACCGUCGAUGGCAGCCGAAAGCUCACCAGCCUCGAAGAACUGGUGGAUGGUGAAAGUUAUGUAUGCGCUUCCAAUGAGCCAUUUCGGAAAGUUGAUUAUACUAAGAAUGUUAAUCCAAAUUGGUCUGUCAACAUAAAAUCUGGAUCAUCUCGAUCCUUCACAUCUUUAACAUCUGCAAAAAGUGAAAUAAGGGAGAGCAAAGACUUCAUUAAACCUAAACUGGUAACUGUUAUACGCAGUGGAGUAAAGCCACGAAAAGCUGUGAGAAUUUUGCUGAAUAAAAAGACCGCUCAUUCCUUUGACCAAGUGUUGACUGAUAUAACAGAAGCUAUUAAGUUAGAUUCAGGCAUUGUCAAGAGAAUUUGCACAUUGGAUGGGAAACAGGUUACCUGUUUGCAAGACUUUUUUGGUGACGAUGACGUUUUUAUUGCCUGUGGACCUGAAAAAUACCGUUAUGCUCAAGAUGAUUUUGUUCUGGACCAUAGUGAAUGCCGUGUUAUGAAAUCAUCUUAUUCUCGUGCAUCUGGAACAACAAGGUAUUCUGGAUCUAAAAGUCCUGGGCUUUCACGUCGAAGCAAGUCCCCAGCUUCAGUAAAGAGGGGUGGCCACUACUCCAGUACAUGCUCUUCAGCAAAAUCCCCAGUCAGUGGAGCCCCCAGCAGCCAGAUUUCUACUCCUAAAUCAACAAAAUCAUCUAGUUCCUCACCAACAAGUCCUGGAAGUUUUCGGGGACUCAAGAUUCUCCCUCCUUGUGAAUCUUCUGCUAAUGUAAAUGGUGUGCCUGAAAUAUCUCCUUCUCUGAGUCCUGAAGGUAUAAAUGGAAACAAGUACUCUGAGACAGCCACCAUUCUUGAAAAGUACAAAGUGGGAAAAGUGAUUGGUGAUGGUAAUUUUGCAGUGGUAAAGGAAUGCAUAGAAAGAUCCACCAGAAAGGAAUUUGCCCUGAAGAUUAUUGACAAAGGAAAAUGUUGUGGAAAGGAACACUUGAUUGAAAACGAAGUGUCAAUUCUACGCCGAGUGAAACAUCCCAAUAUUAUUAUGCUAGUAGAGGAAAUGGAUACUGCAACUGAGCUAUAUUUGGUGAUGGAAUUGGUCAAGGGAGGAGAUCUUUUUGAUGCUAUUACAUCUUCAACAAAGUACACAGAGCGUGAUGGAAGUGCAAUGGUCUACAAUCUAGCCAGUGCACUGAAAUAUCUUCAUGGUCUCAGUAUUGUCCACAGAGACAUCAAACCUGAGAAUCUUCUGGUCUGUGAAUAUCCAGAUGGGACAAAAUCCUUGAAGCUAGGAGACUUUGGAUUAGCCACUGUAGUUGAAGGACCUCUUUAUACAGUCUGUGGCACACCAACCUAUGUGGCUCCAGAAAUCAUUGCAGAAACAGGUUAUGGCUUAAAAGUGGAUAUUUGGGCUGCAGGUGUCAUUACAUACAUUCUCUUAUGUGGGUUUCCACCAUUUCGUAGUGAGAACAACAUACAAGAGGAUCUUUUUGACCAGAUCUUAAUUGGAAAGCUAGAAUUUCCUUCUCCAUAUUGGGAUAACAUCACUGACUCUGCUAAGGAAUUAAUUAGUCUGAUGUUACAAGUAAAUGUGGAAGAACGAUAUACAGCUGCUCAGAUAUUAAACCAUCCUUGGGUAUCAGAUGAUGCCUCUCAAGAAAAUAAUAUGCAAGCUGAAGUAACAGGUAAAUUAAAGCAGCACUUUAACAACACACUUCCCAAACAGAAUAACCAAAACGCAGGAGUGUCUAUUAUCAUGUUUGACUUGACAGUCUGAGAGACUUCAAAACUCAAUGUUUUGUAUUUUUGAGACUUUGGAUAAUCCUGAAGCAAAACCUGAACACAGCUCUAGAUAAAGAAAAUCAGAUAUUUUGCAACAAGCGCUAUCAAAUCCCAGGUCAAGCUGAUAUGAAGUAAAUCACCAAGAUAAGUCCUGCUCCUCAGCCUUCUACAACUGAUCACAAGUUGACUUCUCCUGCUGCUUCUCAGCUACUCAGACUCUCUUCCUACCUUGAAUCAGCAUGCCAUGAGCCUGCAGGAUUAAUUUAAAGAGAAGUUCUAAUGAAAUCCAGAGCUAGGUCAGCUACUGUUCUCUUAAACUUGCUACUUUAUUUUUUUUCAUGUCUAAAAGGGAUGCAGGUUGUAUGUACAGUAGAUUUUAGUACUCUACCUAUUACAUUUGAGAAUUCUUAUGCUUUUAAAUGAAUUUGUGUUCAGUAUAAUUUCAAUCAUACAAAUGAAUUUAUCUUCUCAUACUUGGAUAUACAAACUUUAAAUAGGUAUAACUAUUAAGAAGCCUCACCCAACAAAGUCUAGAUUUUCUAAAAGAAAUGCUAGACAAAAAAAGUAGCGGAACUCAUUUCUUUAAUUUAAAAAUGCAGGUCUAAAAUGGUCCUGGAGAGAAGCAAGAUUAUUUCCAGUGGCAAUUUGUACAAUAUUGAAAGUCAAGUUGUAGAGGUUUGAAUAAUGGUGUGAAUGGAUAACACACUUAUUUUUGACAUUAAACUUUUUGAUUAAGUACCAUCAAGUUGGUGUUGAAUCUAAGUGAUCACAUAGAUAAGAAACAUAAAUUUAAAUCUUGUGGAAUUUAAUAUAGACUAACUCAAUCAUUGACAAUCAUUUUGCAACCAACCCCAUUUAUGAAUGAGUGUGUUUUGAAGAUUGCAGUUAGUAAAGAUUUCUCUGCACAGGUUGUUUCCUGCUUCUCUUUUCCUGAAUGACCAGUUGUUUUUUUCUUGGAACAGAAAGCUUGCUGCAUGGUGCAUUAUCUAAAAAAAGAGCAGUAUAUUUAUAGCAAGCUAGUGUAAUAAAUGAACUACUAGUCACCAACACAGAAUGCUGUCAGCAUUAUAUUUUUUUUAAUUAGCCCACUCUUAAAGAAAGUCAUCAAAUGUUUGGGAAACUAUAAUGCUAAAUGUGCAGUGAAGGGUAGAUGGAGUUGUAUAUUAAUGCUUGUUUCAAUAUUGUAUGUUCUCUGCUUGUUUUCUUUUUUAUUUCUAACAAUUUUAAAUCAUUUUCUAUUAGCUCUUUACAUUAGAACUAAGAACUGCAAUAAACAUUUUUCUUCAAAA